UGGGGAAUAUUGCACAAUGGGGGAAACCCUGAUGCAGCGACGCCGCGUGAACGAAGAAGGUAUUCGUAUCGUAAAGUUCUGUCCUAUGGGAAGAUAAUGACAGUACCAUAGAAGAAAGCUCCGGCUAAAUACGUGCCAGCAGCCGCGGUAAUACGUAUGGAGCGAGCGUUGUCCGGAAUUAUUGGGCGUAAAGGGUACGCAGGCGGUUUAAUAAGUCGAAUGCUAAAGAUCGGGGCUCAACCCCGUAAAGCAUUGGAAACUGAUAAACUUGAGUAGUGGAGAGGAAAGUGGAAUUCCUAGUGUAGUGGUGAAAUACGUAGAUAUUAGGAGGAAUACCAGUAGCGAAGGCGACUUUCUGGACACAAACUGACGCUGAGGUACGAAAGCGUGGGGAGCAAACAGG
rnacentral:rRNA from 1 species